CUAAUCCCUUAAAGCCAUUCUCAGUUCGGAUUGUAGGCUGAAACUCGCCUACAUGAAGCUGGAGUUACUAGUAAUCGCAGAUCAGAAUGCUGCGGUGAAUGCGUUCCCGGGUCUUGUACACACCGCCCGUCACACCACGGAAGUUGGGGGCGCCCGAAGCCACUUAGCUAACCCUUUUGGGAAGCGAGUGUCGAAGGUGAAAUCAAUAACUGGGGUGAAGUCGUAACAAGGUACC
rnacentral:rRNA from 1 species